CGGUCUUUCCAAAGAAAAAGACAUACAGUUAACCACAGGUUCCCGUUGAUCUUAUGAUGGACAUGCGUUGUGAUAUUUAACCAAACAAUUCCUCAACGGUGACAUAAAAGCCUCUUAUUAACAAGACCGGUCUGAGAGACCUCCAGCUUACAGCGGCGUCUCCGAGCAAGACUGGCCGAGCGUCGAGCUAUAGCGACCCCCGGCAGGCGCUAGCUGACUGUUGCAUCACUUUAUGGAGCUUCUCAACUCC